CUGAUCUCAGUGUAGCCGAAACAUUUGAUCCUUUUUACAGAAAGGAGAAAUGAAUAAUUUAGAACUAUAAUGAAGCUUCCAAAAUAUCUAGGGGCAGGGAGACACCAGCAAAUACCAAGAUCGCAUGAAUGCAUAAACAGAGCAGUCCACAGUAAGCUAUGAUUAUCCAGCCCUCAAACUGGAAAAGACAACGGAGUGGUGGGUUGAUGAAGAAUGGAGUAACAAUAAAGGAGGCAGAUGGAAAAAAAAAAAAAGAUUGGACAGGUUCUUUAUGUUUUGAGUACCAUGGGGCGAAGUAUACAUUUUAUUUUUAGAAGACUCCUGAGAGAAAGUAAAGACUCAUAGAAUGAAGCUCAUACAUUUAUACAGACUUGUUUCAUUUGAAUUUCAAAGAGAAGCUAAAGGCAAAGAAGAAAAGGAAAGAUAUACCCAUUUGAAUGCAGAGUUCCAAAGAACAGUAAGGAGAGAUAAGAAAGCCUUCCUCAGUGAUCAAUGCAAAGAAAUAGAGGAAAACAAUAGAAUGGGAAAGACUAGAGAUCUCUUCAAGAAAAUUAGAGAUA
ensembl:lncRNA